rnacentral:rRNA from 1 species
UACGAAGGGGGGCUAGCGUUGUUCGGAAUCACUGGGCGUAAAGCGCACGUAGGCGGAUUUUUAAGUCAGGGGUGAAAUCCCGAGGCUCAACCUCGGAACUGCCUUUGAUACUGGGGAUCUGGAGUCCGGGAGAGGUGAGCGGAACUGCGAGUGUAGAGGUGAAAUUCGUAGAUAUUCGCAAGAACACCAGUGGCGAAGGCGGCUCACUGGCCCGGAACUGACGCUGAGGUGCGAAAGCGUGGGGAGCAAACAGG